rnacentral:rRNA from 1 species
UACAGAGGGGGCAAGCGUUGUUCGGAAUUACUGGGCGUAAAGGGCGCGUAGGCGGCCUGUUAAGUCGAACGUGAAAUCCCCGGGCUCAACCCGGGAACUGCGUCCGAUACUGGCAGGCUUGAAUCCGGGAGAGGGAUGCGGAAUUCCAGGUGUAGCGGUGAAAUGCGUAGAUAUCUGGAGGAACACCGGUGGCGAAGGCGGCAUCCUGGACCGAGAUUGACGCUGAACAGCGAAAGCUAGGGGAGCAAACGGG